AAAAAAGGUAAGCUACUAAGAGCGAAUGGUGGAUGCCUUGACUGGUAAAGGCGAUGAAGGACGUACUAGACUGCGAUAAGCUACGGGGAGCUGUCAAGAAGCUUUGAUCCGUAGAUUUCCGAAUGGGGCAACCCAAUGUAUAGAGAUAUACAUUACCUAUAUAGGAGCGAACGAGGGGAAUUGAAACAUCUUAGUACCCUCAGGAAAAGAAAUCAAUAGAGAUUGCGUCAGUAGCGGCGAGCGAAAGCGCAAGAGGGCAAACCCAGUGCUUGCACUGGGGGUUGUAGGACUGCAAUGUGCAAGAGGUGAGUUUAGCAGAACAUUCUGGAAAGUAUAGCCAUAGAGGGUGAUAGUCCCGUAUGCGAAAAACAAACCUUAGCUAGCAGUAUCCUGAGUAGGGCGGGACACGAGAAAUCCUGUCUGAAGCUGGGUCGACCACGAUCCAACCCUAAAUACUAAUACCAGAUCGAUAGUGCACAAGUACCGUGAGGGAAAGGUGAAAAGAACUGAGGUGAUCAGAGUGAAAUAGAACCUGAAACCAUUUGCUUACAAUCAUUCAGAGCACUAUGUAGCAAUACAGUGUGAUGGACUGCCUUUUGCAUAAUGAGCCUGCGAGUUGUGGUGUCUGGCAAGGUUAAGCAAACGCGAAGCCGUAGCGAAAGCGAGUCUGAAUAGGGCGCUUAGUCAGAUGCUGCAGACCCGAAACGAAGUGAUCUAUCCAUGAGCAAGUUGAAGCUAGUGUAAGAACUAGUGGAGGACUGAACCCAUAGGCGUUGAAAAGCCCCGGGAUGACUUGUGGAUAGGGGUGAAAGGCCAAUCAAACUUCGUGAUAGCUGGUUCUCUCCGAAAUAUAUUUAGGUAUAGCGUUGUGUCGUAAUAUAAGGGGGUAGAGCACUGAAUGGGCUAGGGCAUACACCAAUGUACCAAACCCUAUCAAACUCCGAAUACCUUAUAUGUAAUCACAGCAGUCAGGCGGCGAGUGAUAAAAUCCGUCGUCAAGAGGGAAACAACCCAGACUACCAGCUAAGGUCCCUAAAUCUUACUUAAGUGGAAAACGAUGUGAAGUUACUUAAACAACCAGGAGGUUGGCUUAGAAGCAGCCAUCCUUUAAAGAAAGCGUAAUAGCUCACUGGUCUAGUGAUUUUGCGCGGAAAAUAUAACGGGGCUAAAGUAAGUACCGAAGCUGUAGACUUGACUUUGUCAAGUGGUAGGAGAGCGUUCUAUUUGCGUCGAAGGUAUACCGGUAAGGAGUGCUGGAGCGAAUAGAAGUGAGCAUGCAGGCAUGAGUAGCGAUAAUUAAUGUGAGAAUCAUUAACGCCGUAAACCCAAGGUUUCCUACGCGAUGCUCGUCAUCGUAGGGUUAGUCGGGUCCUAAGUCGAGUCCGAAAGGGGUAGACGAUGGCAAAUUGGUUAAUAUUCCAAUACCAACAUUAGUGUGCGAUGGAAGGACGCUUAGGGCUAAGGGGGCUAGCGGAUGGAAGUGCUAGUCUAAGGUCGUAGGUGCUUAUACAGGCAAAUCCGUAUAAGAAUACACCGAGAACUGAAAGGCUUUUUGAAAUCUUCGGAUGGAUAGAAGAACCCCUGAUGCCGUCGAGCCAAGAAAAGUUUCUAAGUUUAGCUAAUGUUGCCCGUACCGUAAACCGACACAGGUGGGUGGGAUGAGUAUUCUAAGGCGCGUGGAAGAACUCUCUUUAAGGAACUCUGCAAAAUAGCACCGUAUCUUCGGUAUAAGGUGUGGUUCGCUUCGUAUUAGGAUUUACUCCGAAAGCGAAGAAACUUACAACAAAGAGUCCCUCCCGACUGUUUACCAAAAACACAGCACUCUGCUAACUCGUAAGAGGAUGUAUAGGGUGUGACGCCUGCCCGGUGCUCGAAGGUUAAUUGAUGGGGUUAGCAUUAGCGAAGCUCUUGAUCGAAGCCCGAGUAAACGGCGGCCGUAACUAUAACGGUCCUAAGGUAGCGAAAUUCCUUGUCGGUUAAAUACCGACCUGCAUGAAUGGCGUAACGAGAUGGGAGCUGUCUCAAAGAGGGAUCCAGUGAAAUUGUAGUGGAGGUGAAAAUUCCUCCUACCCGCGGCAAGACGGAAAGACCCCGUGGACCUUUACUACAGCUUGACACUGCUACUUGGAUAAGAAUGUGCAGGAUAGGUGGGAGGCUUUGAGUAUAUGACGCCAGUUGUAUAUGAGCCAUUGUUGAGAUACCACUCUUUCUUAUUUGGGUAGCUAACCAGCUUGAGUUAUCCUCAAGUGGGACAAUGUCUGGUGGGUAGUUUGACUGGGGCGGUCGCCUCCCAAAUAAUAACGGAGGCUUACAAAGGUUGGCUCAGAACGGUUGGAAAUCGUUCGUAGAGUAUAAAGGUAUAAGCCAGCUUAACUGCAAGACAUACAAGUCAAGCAGAGACGAAAGUCGGUCUUAGUGAUCCGGUGGUUCUGUGUGGAAGGGCCAUCGCUCAAAGGAUAAAAGGUACCCCGGGGAUAACAGGCUGAUCUCCCCCAAGAGCUCACAUCGACGGGGAGGUUUGGCACCUCGAUGUCGGCUCAUCGCAUCCUGGGGCUGGAGCAGGUCCCAAGGGUAUGGCUGUUCGCCAUUUAAAGCGGUACGCGAGCUGGGUUCAGAACGUCGUGAGACAGUUCGGUCCCUAUCUGCCGUGGGCGUAAGAAGAUUGAAGAGAUUUGACCCUAGUACGAGAGGACCGGGUUGAACAAACCACUGGUGUAGCUGUUGUUCUGCCAAGAGCAUCGCAGCGUAGCUAAGUUUGGAAAGGAUAAACGCUGAAAGCAUCUAAGCGUGAAGCCAACUCUAAGAUGAAUCUUCUCUAAGCUCUCUAGAAGACUACUAGUUUGAUAGGCUGGGUGUGUAAUGGAUGAAAGUCCUUUAGCUGACCAGUACUAAUAGAGCGUUUGGCUUAUCUUUAAUAAAGCAU
rnacentral:rRNA from 1 species